AUUGAACGCUGGCGGCGUGCCUAAUACAUGCAAGUCGAACGCAGUGGGGACGGGUGAGUAACACGUGGGUAACCUCCCAUCAGAGGGGAUAACACUUGGAAACAGGUGCUAAACCGAUACUGAUGGAUGGACCCGCGGUGCAUUAGCUCGUUGGUGAGGUAACGGCUCACCAAGGCCAAGAUGCAUAGCCGACCUGAGAGGGUGAGCGGGCAAAUUGGGACAUGGGAACGGCCCAGAAUCCGCCGGGUGGCAGGCGUAGGGAAUCAUCGGAAAAGGACGAAAGUCUGACCGAGCAACGGCACGGGAGUUAAGAAGGUGUUCGGAGCGUAAAACUCUGUUGUUAGAGAAGCGGUAUCUAACCAGAAAGCCACGGCUAACUACGUGCCAACAGCCGCGGUAAUAC
rnacentral:rRNA from 1 species